GCCUGGAUAGCUCAGUUGGUUGCAGCGUGGUGCUGAUAAUGCCAAGAUUGCAGGUUUGACCCCCAUUUUGGGACA